GAUGAACGCUGGCGGCGUGCCUAAUACAUGCCAGUCGAGCGAACGGACGAGAAGCUUGCUUCUCUGAUGUUAGCGGCGGACGGGUGAGUAACACGUGGAUAACCUACCUAUAAGACUGGGAUAACUUCGGGAAACCGGAGCUAAUACCGGAUAAUAUUUUGAACCGCAUGGUUCAAAAGUGAAAGACGGUCUUGCUGUCACUUAUAGAUGGAUCCGCGCUGCAUUAGCUAGUUGGUAAGGUAACGGCUUACCAAGGCAACGAUGCAUAGCCGACCUGAGAGGGUGAUCGGCCACACUGGAACUGAGACACGGUCCAGACUCCUACGGGAGGCAGCAGUAGGGAAUCUUCCGCAAUGGGCGAAAGCCUGACGGAGCAACGCCGCGUGAGUGAUGAAGGUCUUCGGAUCGUAAAACUCUGUUAUUAGGGAAGAACAUAUGUGUAAGUAACUGUGCACGUCUUGACGGUACCUAAUCAGAAAGCCACGGCUAACUACGUG
rnacentral:rRNA from 1 species